rnacentral:rRNA from 1 species
UACAGAGACUGCAAGCGUUAUUCGGAUUCGCUGGGCGUAAAGGGUGCGCAGGCGGCCGUGUGUGUGAGGCGUGAAAGCCCGGGGCUCAACCCCGGAAUUGCACCUCAAACUACAUGGCUAGAGCAUUGGAGAGGGUAGCGGAAUUCACGGUGUAGCAGUGAAAUGCGUAGAUAUCGUGAGGAACACCAGAGGCGAAGGCGGCUACCUGGACAAUUGCUGACGCUCAGGCACGAAAGCGUGGGGAGCAAAAGGG